CGUGUAGGCGGUCGGUCAAGUCCGAUGUGAAAGCCCGGGGCUCAGCUCCGGAAGGGCAUCGGAAACUAGCCGGCUAGAGCGCGAUAGAGGAGGGUGGAAUUCCUGGUGUAGCGGUGAAAUGCGUAGAUAUCAGGAGGAACACCGGCGGCGAAGGCGGCCCUCUGGAUCGUUGCUGACGCUGAGAUGCGAAAGCGUGGGGAGCAAACAGGAUUAGAUACCCUGGUAGUCCACGCUGUAAACGAUGGGUACUAGGUGUUCGGGGUAUUGACCCCCUGAGUGCCGCAGCUAACGCAUUAAGUACCCCGCCUGGGGACUACGGCCGCAAGGUUAAA
rnacentral:rRNA from 1 species